CCUCUGAUGGGAAGUUGGCUGCCAUACCUUUACAGAAGAAGAGUGACAUCACCUACUUCAAAACCAUGCCUGAUCUCCACUCACAGCCAGUUCUCUUCAUACCUGAUGUUCACUUUGCAAACCUGCAGAGGACCGGACAGGUGUAUUACAACACGGAUGAUGAACGAGAAGGAGGCAGUGUCCUUGUUAAACGGAUGUUCAGGCCCAUGGAAGAGGAGUUUGGUCCAGUGCCUUCAAAGCAGAUGAAAGAAGAAGGGACAAAGCGAGAUAUCUGAGAAAUAUGGGCUGCCCGUGGAGAAGAUAGCAAAGCUUUACAAGAAAAGC
rnacentral:sRNA from 1 species